AAAGAUAAAGAAAUAAAGCUGCUAACUUUAUAAUUUAACAAAAGUUAUUAUCUUUA
rnacentral:tRNA from 1 species